AAAACCUAAUCCUUCCUACCUCUAUCUUUCUCUCUCGCUACCUAUCUAGCAACGGAUCUUCCACGCCCCAUUCCUGGGUUUCCAUUCUUCUUUCCCUUCGUGGCAAACAACACUCGCUAUCAUUAUAUUAUAUAUUUUCUCUCUCUAAGAGCAUGAGAGGGGCUUCAACUUGCCAUUUAUUUCACAUGAACCCGGGAGCCAAGAUCUCCGGAC
rnacentral:lncRNA from 1 species